rnacentral:rRNA from 1 species
GGGAGGCAGCAGUGGGGAAUAUUGCACAAUGGGCGCAAGCCUGAUGCAGCCAUGCCGCGUGUGUGAAGAAGGCCUUCGGGUUGUAAAGCACUUUCAGCGGGGAGGAAGGCGGUGAGGUUAAUAACCUCAUCGAUUGACGUUACCCGCAGAAGAAGCACCGGCUAACUCCGUGCCAGCAGCCGCGGUAAUACGGAGGGUGCAAGCGUUAAUCGGAAUUACUGGGCG